rnacentral:tRNA from 2 species
GGUUCGAUGGCGUAGUUGGUUAUCGCAUCUGUCUAACAUUGGCUACACAGAAGGUCCUCAGUUCGAGCCUGGGUCGAAUCA